UUAAAAUGAAGUCUUGGCCUAAAAGCUAACUUCUUCUUAAAACCUGGAGCCAUGCCUACAAUCAAGGCAUCAAAUUCAGCCUCUUCAAGUUCCACGUCGACGGCCGCCUGUGCCACACUGUCAAGGUCUUUGGUGACUUCCAAUUCCUUGUCAGUCAGAAUCAACUAGAACUAACAUUACUACUAGGCCUCUUACUAGGCCUACCCAAGCGUUUCAAGAACUGCCAAAGGGCCCGCAUUCCAACCAACACCAAUCUGGAGGGGCUUUCAAGAAAGGAGAAACUGCUAGGAUACUUCAGAAAGCAGAAGACUUUUCCACAGGCAAAGAGGAGCCAGCAUGUGCCACAACCUCGGUCACUGAUGAUGAAAAUAUUGAGCAUCAGAGCAUUGCCACAUAAACAGAAUGCACACGGCGACAACUCAUCAUACAGCUAGAUGUCCGGAAAGUCAACAUCUAUGCCUCAAAACCCCCAAAGCAGUGCUUUGUCCACUCCAAACGCACUCAGACAGAUCCUAAGAAGUUCACAGUUAGGAAUAAAUAUUGCCAAGCACAUGACUUAUCCUGUUGCCCAAAGGAUAUACAUGUACAUGUAUAGUGUGAGCUGGUCAAGGCCCCAAAGCUGAAGCUCCUCAGUGCUAUGCCACAGCCUCAGCAACCUGUGGUGGUUGUUGACAAGGCAUAUCAGCGAUGAUGACAAGAUUGAUUCUGACUCAGAUGGCAGGCCAAGCGCAAGCGACAGCUACCAGCCGUCUAGUGGGCGGAGCUCAGACUCCAACUUUGAAAUUAGAUACUUGCAGCUGGCAGUUGUCCAUGUCUGGGAAAGUGACCAAGAGGCAUUAACGUCCAUCCAAGCUACAAGAGGAUGCAUUUCUUGGAAUGGACAUGUGGGACAAUUCAAUGGGCCUCUCAGUCAAGUAUGGCUGUUACAGCGUAAAUGACCUUAACUACGGCAAGGUUCUGCUCAUUGAACUUGUUCAGAAAAAUGAAACACAGCUCAAGUCGAGCCUUAUGGAGAAGGAGGGACUGAUACAAGCAAUGAAGUGGCUGGAGGACAAUAAUAUACAAACUUAUGAUGGAUAUCGACAAGUAACAAAGUACAUCAAGGAGAACUUUCCUGAUAUCAAGGCACUGCUAUGACAUCUGCCAUGUAGCCAUUUGUUAACGUUCGUUCUUGAUUUUAUAAAUUUUAUUUCAACUUGCGAAUGUUUGUGACAAUUUUCCCACUAACAAAUACAUGUACAGCAAUUUGAAAUUCACUUUUUCUGUCCAUGACACUCCUGUUUGUAAGUCACCCCCCCAUCUUCCCGGAAUAUCAAAAAUCUGGAAUUACACAACAGAAAUGGUGCAUUUCUCGCACCUGCCACAAGUUUAGAGAUUAUGAAAUGGAAAUUUUAGCACAUCUUUUAAUGCAGGAUAAAUUUUGGAGAAAUAAUUUAAAUCUGAAAUGUUUCCUGCAUGCUAAUUUCUUACAUGUUUAGCAUGUGCUUGAUAUCUUAGGUCUGAAGAAGAAGCUAACCACAGCAACAAAAUUCUCCGGUUGUACCCCUAUCAAAGACUCGAUCCUUGGGAUAACACCUGAUAGGGAUGGGGACUUAAUGCUGGCCAAGUUCGAAACCAUAGCAAACUAUGGCAUCCAUGUUUGCAACAGCCCACAGUUUCCAAAAUGUGUCCAUGGAACUCUGGAAGCGAGAGAAUGGCUACUUGGUGGAACAGUGGUUGUUUUUUAUGCAAUAUGAUUUUAUGACCAAAAGAUUAUACAUGUACUUGUUUUGUGCAUUAACUAUCUUAUUGUAUGUGUAUUUUUAUUAGUUAUUUCAUUUCAUUUGGCAUUAAGUCAAGGAUAACUAGACAUUGCAGACUACACACAUGUAUUCAUGAUGCACGAAAGAAAUGGGACUCAGUUGUAUUUCCCCAAGAAUCCCCAACACCAGCAUACUAUCUCUCUAUGGAAUAUGUGGCGAUAUUUCUUGAAAAGACAAAAUAGAAUUGAUCAUAAUAAAUGUAGCAUAAGGAUGGUGCGUCAUCCACAGUUAUAAGCUCCACUGUUAUGGACUAAUUCUACAAUGUACAGUUUAUGUACAACAUAUAGGUACCAGGUACAUAAAAGAAAUGUACCACACGUACAACGUACAUGUACAUGAAAAUAAUGUGUACUGUGCGGUACAUGUGAGAAUUCAUACAUUUUACUCUCAGACUAGCUGAACUGUUGCAAGGGACAAGGGUUAUAGGUCCCCUUUGUUACGUGUACAUGUAUUAGAGGGAAAAGCAGAGAUGCCAACCAGUACAAUUUUAUCACAUUAAGUACGAUGAAAAAAGUAAAAUACGAUCAGUCAGUAUGCAGCACACACAAAAGCGGUGCCGUUUGUUUGGAACAUAUGCAUGGUUUUCCGUGCGUGACCUCUCUUUGCAUAUUUAAUGAGCAUGAAGAGCGUAAGGAAUUCGAUGGAUUUCUCAUCUUUUACUCAUGGUACUUUUUAAAAAAUAGUUUUUUUGUCCUAGCUGAAGACUAUAUCUGUCAUAUAAUGUGAAAUUCAAAUGCAUUUAUUGUUUAAAUAAGGUUGAAACGGCACAAUGUUUUGGGGAUAAAAAAUCGACAAAUUCAUGCCAGAAAAUGCAGAAAACUCUCUUUUUUUCAGUGUGACCACAACUUUCUUUUACACUUCAUGAAGAGAUUUAUGUCUUGAACUACACCAAAAUUAACCUAUUUACCCUCAGAUUUCUCUAGCUGGGUCAGGGCACACUUUUUCUAUGCAAGGCUCUGCAACGGGUCCACGUAAAAUCACAUUCAUGCCGCCGCCAUGACAGUCACAGAUUUCUGGGCUGCUGAUUGGUUGAUAGCGUUAGUCACAGAACCCGGAUGUACUUGUAAACAAACGAAAUGGCAAUCAAAGUACAUGUACAUCUAUGUUGUUUCUCGUUCACAAUUGAAUGCAUGUGGUAUAUAUUAAUGUUUCUAACAAGAUUUGUGUUCCUCUUUCGCUAUUAUUUUAUUCUUUUUCGCUUAAUUUGCCAAACUAACUAAAUCAAUAAAUGCUGUAUUGAUCAUUGUUUCCCUUUCAGAAUUGAAUUUUUUUUGUGUUGCUUUGCACUAUUUUUUGUGAUUUCAAUCUUUCUCUUCAUUCUACACAAGUUUGGUGACAACAUUGAACAAAAAUAAAUGAGUUUUAAGGGAGUAGACAGGGGAAA
rnacentral:lncRNA from 1 species